rnacentral:snoRNA from 1 species
AAGACUCUACUUUCAGGGAUCAUUUCCAGAGUUCAUGACUGGAGAAGUAAUGAUCGUGUAGAGCACUGAAACCACGAGAAGCCAGAGUAUCCUCUCCUGGGCAUGAAGCCAGUUCUCAGUGUGGCUUUUGUAACCGGCCUUUACCAUGGAUCAUCGUUGUUCUCUUCCCUCGGAAGAGGGAGAGAGAGAGGAUGCAGUCUGAGUGG